AUGAUGUCAUCAAAAUGGGCCCUGGCAUGAUGUGCUUGAGAACAAUGCCUAGCUUGGGGGGAAUUGUCGAUUUAGUAAGCAGUGAAGCAUGACAACUCCACUACAGGCAGUGCAUAAUUCCCAGCGACCCAGGGAGAGGACGUCUUAAAAAGAGAGGGGAAAAGUGAAAAGUGGAAGAAGAACACCGCAGUCUCCAAAUGCAAGAUCUAGGGCGUGUGAAGCGCAGCACCAGUUUCGAGCUCCUGCCACCUGACAGUUGAUAAUGGAUGACUGGUCCAAUUAAAAAAGAUCUGACUUUACUGUGUCAGAGCUGAGGGUCAUCCCGCUGGGGAACAACUGUUCCGAGAGGAGUUCAGUAGGGAACGUCAUACUGGGAGGGACCAAGUUCAACACUGAGGAAGAACCAGACGACUGUCAGAGAGUCACGGGAAAGGUGGAGGAGAAAGAAGUAGUUCUCAUCAACACCCAAGAUCGGUUAGAUCCUGACAUGUCUGAAGGCAGACAAAAACAACAUGUAGAUGACUGUGUGCAACUCUCUGCUCCUGGACCUCAUGUGUUCCUGCUGGUCCUAUAGCCUGAAGACUUCACUGUGAAGCAGAGAGAGAGGAUCUGCACAGUCCUUCAACUCUUUGGUGAUGAAUCAUUUGAUCACUCACUGGUGCCCUCUCCUGUGUUUGUGAUGCUGUAUCCAGCAGGCGGAGCUCUAGCACCAGUUCCCUAACUGUUGGACCCCAAGUCUGCUGACUUCAUUAAUACUGUGCUGUGGGUUUUACUGCAUCACCAGGUACUGCUGAGGAUCACAGAGAGCCUCAGGAUCACCUUUUUUUUUUACCACAGGCUUGAUGUUGCUACAGUGGCUCUAUGUGUUUGUUUGACCUGAUUGUGCAGGCUUGUGGUCCAAUAACCAGAACCUGUGUUUCUGAUGAACGAAACUGAAAGAAAUAUGAGGACAUCCAGUCCUUCACAUCUGCUGACAUGGACCAGAGGUUUGCAGCUUUAUGAGGAGAUAUAUCUGGAUAUCAUGUAACAGUGACAGCAGCAGUGUCUCUGUGUAUAAUAUGACAGAGGGAAGGCAAAUAAGAUUCUUCUUAAAGUUGGAACCAAGGCCCUGGCCCUGUUACUGGGGCUGGAGGGGUUACACUGUCACUAAACACUAAAACUGUGAUGGAACAAACAGGAGAAAACACCAGUGUACAAAAUGUUCUGUAAAACCUACUGCUGAACUCUGUUGAUGAUAAUCAACUGCAUCAAAAGCUGCUGCAGUAAAACAAAAAUGAAGCCAUCUGAAUCAUCUGCAUUCAUUAAUAUCAGGCCAUUUGUAACUGGGAGAGCUCCAGUUUGUGUUUUUUUACACCUCCAGAAACUGGAAAGGAGCCAUUGUUUUGUCAGUUUUGGCAGCAAACAGGUUUGGAAACUGAUGUAAUUAACUAACUAACUAACUGACCUAAUUUAUCCACUCAGCUCAAAAUUUCAAUUCAAUUCAGUUUUAAUUGUAUAGUGCCAAAUUACAACAAAAAUCAUCUCAGGACAAUUUACAUACAGUAUUAUGCUUUGAAGUAGUGUAUUGUGGUAUUCCUGCCACAUCUUGCUAAAUGGGAGCAUCCCACAAGGCUUCAUUUACUCACAGAAUGAGAAAUAAUACUGUAUUUUAACCUGCAGAGGUCACUAAAACACUACAAAAUCUCCAGAGCAUCAUCAUUCUGGCUCCCCACAGAGAGAGAGAAUUUUAGCUGAUAGAGCAGCUGCUGUUUUCGGGACUUGGAGGAAACACUGGAGGGGGAAGAGGGCUAGUGCCCUCAUCAGGCUACAAGAGCAGGCUCACUGAAUGUCACUGUUCUCUGCACUUCCAUCUCUGUCUGGCUUGGCUCAGCAA